rnacentral:lncRNA from 1 species
CCAGAGUGAUAUGAUUCCUUUGUAUCUUUUAUGAAAGCAGCCAGCCACACUGUCUCCAGGCCAUUGUUUCUCUAGGUCUUCUUUGAAGACGGACGAUCUACUGUUUCAAAAGAUGUAUGUGUGUGGACAAUAAUACCAAUAUCUGGAGGUUCCAGAGGACACAUCGAUAACAAUCAACUUAGCACACCAAGAUUUCUGCAGUUGUUCUGUUGCCACCAGCAUUCCUGGAGUGAAUGUCCUCCUGUAUCUUCCUUAUGGAUGUGUGAGAGUGUUUCUGGAUUGUAUACCCAGUGGUGUGAUCACUGGCCCAUGAGAACGGCACAAAAUUUAUUCACUAAGUGUGGCCAGAUUGCUCUUCAGAUUAGAUGCUCCCACCUAGGUAAGUGGCUCCUGCUCCUCUGUUUCUGAACCAUUUUUUAUAUUCUCUGACUUUCUACUUUUUGCCAGGAUUAUGGGUGUCAUAGUUGUUUGAGGGCCAUGAGCUUGCAUGUCCCUUCACAAACUUUGUAGCCAUUGAUAUUAUUCUUCCGUGAACAGCUUGUUUAUUUCCUUUCCUAAUUUAUUAACUGGCAUUGGGUUGUGUGUUAAUUUGUACAUUUGCAAGAGUUUCUUUUGUGUCAUUCUAUAUCCAUAGCCCAUUUUAGCCAAUGAAAAAUAUUACCUCCCAGAUUAUCAUUGUUCAACUUAUACAUUAUGUUCUUUUUUUAUUAUGUUCUUUAUUGAACAAAUAUUGUCAAUUUUGACAUAGACAAAUCAUCUCUUUUCUUUUUAAGUUUCUGUGUUUGGUGUCUUGCAUAAGAAAUAAUUUGCCAUCCCUAGAUGAAAGAUAUGCUUCUAGCGUGACUUCUCUAAAUUUGCUUUUUUUGUUUUGUUUUGUUUUUGGAUUUUUUUUAUCUAUACACCCAGCUUGGGAUUUGAACUCACCAUCCCAAGAUCAACCGUUGUUUGAUCGACCAACAGUGACAGGCGGGUGCCCCUAGAAGUUUUUAGAUUGACCUUUUGCAUCCAGUUGGUGUUUACCUUUGCUAUAAAGUUUUACAAUCUGAUCCAUGAAUGUUUUACUAAUAUUUUACUCGGUUCAUCUCUAGAUGAUUCAUAAAUUCAUCGCUAUUGUAAAUAGGAGUUUAUUUUCUACUUAGUUUCUAAUUGAUUAUUGAUACUUAAAGGGAAUGCUAAUGAAUUUUGUAGGCUGAUCUUAUAUCCAGCCAUCCUGAAGAACUAUUUAUUUUAGUUCUAUUAGUUUGCCUGCUGAAUAUUACCUUUUAUUUGAAGAUAAUUAGAGUUUAAUGCUUUCUAUUACAAUUUUCAUAUUAUAAUUUUUAUUUCUUUUCUUCAUUUGAUUGCCUUGGCUGGGCCCUCCAAUGUUAUAUUGAGUAAUACUAGUCACGGUGGGCAUCCCUGCCUUCUA